rnacentral:rRNA from 1 species
UACGGGGGGGGCAAGCGUUGUUCGGAAUUACUGGGCGUAAAGGGCGCGUAGGCGGCCAGAUUAGUCAGGCGUGAAAGCCCUGGGCUCAACCUGGGGGACUGCGCUUGAUACGGUUUGGCUUGAGGACGGAAGAGGCUCGCGGAAUUCCCAGUGUAGAGGUGAAAUUCGUAGAUAUUGGGAAGAACACCGGUGGCGAAGGCAGCUUGCUGGGACGGUACUGACGCUGAGGCGCGAAAGCGUGGGGGAGCAAACAGGG